rnacentral:tRNA from 1 species
GGGCCGGUACCUCAGUGGCAGAGUGACGCGCAUAAUGGCCGCGCAGGGCGGAGUUGGCAGCGAGACUCCGGUUUGGAGCGCGGAAGUCAUUCGUGGAAGGUCGCGGGUUCGAAUCCCGCCCGGCCCA